CGCGUAGGUGGUUUGUUAAGUCGGAUGUGAAAGCCCCGGGCUCAACCUGGGAAUUGCAUUCGAUACUGGCAGACUAGAGUAUGGUAGAGGGAAGUGGAAUUCCGGGUGUAGCGGUGAAAUGCGUAGAUAUCCGGAGGAACAUCAGUGGCGAAGGCGACUUCCUGGACCAAUACUGACACUGAGGUGCGAAAGCGUGGGUAGCAAACAGGAUUAGAUACCCUGGUAGUCC
rnacentral:rRNA from 1 species